AGUGAACGCUGGCGGUAGGCCUAACACAUGCAAGUCGAACGGCGGCACAGUAAGAGCUUGCUCUUACGGGUGGCGAGUGGCGGACGGGUGAGGAAUACCUCGGAAUCUACUUUUUCGUGGGGGAUAACGUAGGGAAACUUACGCUAAUACCGCAUACGACCUACGGGUGAAAGCAGGGGAUCUUCGGACCUUGCGCGAUUGAAUGAGACGAUGUCUGAUUAGCUAGUUGGCGGGGUAAAGGCCCACCAAGGCGACGAUCCGUAGCUGGUCUGAGAGGAUGAUCAGCCACACUGGAACUGAGACACGGUCCAGACUCCUACGGGAGGCAGCAGUGGGGAAUAUUGGACAAUGGGCGCAAGCCUGAUCCAGCCAUACCGCGUGGGUGAAGAAGGCCUUCGGGUUGUAAAGCCCUUUUGUUGGGAAAGAAAAGCAGCAGGUUAAUACCCCGCUGUUCUGACGGUACCCAAAGAAUAAGCACCGGCUAACUUCGUG
rnacentral:rRNA from 1 species